rnacentral:tRNA from 1 species
GCCGAUGUAGCUCAGUUGGUAGAGCAACGGUUUCGUAAACCGUAGGUCAGCGGUUCAAAUCCGCUCAUCGGCUCCA